rnacentral:tRNA from 1 species
UGCGGUUUGAUGUAAUAGUAACAUAUUUGGCUCAUGACCAAAUUAUAGGGGUGCAAGUCCUCUGACCGCUC